rnacentral:rRNA from 1 species
UACGUAGGGACCAAGCGUUGUCCGGAAUUAUUGGGCGUAAAGCGCGCGCAGGCGGUCCUUUAAGUCUGAUGUGAAAGCCCACGGCUCAACCGUGGAGGGUCAUUGGAAACUGGGGGACUUGAGUACAGAAGAGAAGAGUGGAAUUCCACGUGUAGCGGUGAAAUGCGUAGAGAUGUGGAGGAACACCAGUGGCGAAGGCGACUCUUUGGUCUGUAACUGACGCUGAGGCGCGAAAGCGUGGGGAGCAAACAGG